UACGUAGGGGGCAAGCGUUGUCCGGAUUUAUUGGGCGUAAAGAGCGUGUAGGCGGCUAGGUAGGUCCGUUGUGAAAACUCGAGGCUCAACCUCGAGACGUCGAUGGAAACCAUCUAGCUAGAGUCCGGAAGAGGAGAGUGGAAUUCCUGGUGUAGCGGUGGAAUGCGCAGAUAUCAGGAAGAACACCCGUGGCGAAGGCGGCUCUCUGGUACGUGACUGACGCUGAGACGCGAAAGCGUGGGGAGCGAACAGG
rnacentral:rRNA from 1 species